rnacentral:lncRNA from 1 species
UAUGUUUUCAAUUUGUAGUUUAAGAAUUCAUAGUUGAGUAGCCGAUGAUUUUGUAAUUUUAUUUUUAUUUCACCGCAAAAAUUAAUAGCUUAAUAAUGAAUUCAGCUUCUAUAAAUUUUUAAAAAUACCAAGUUCUUAGAAUUUGUAGAUUUCGGUCAUUAAAUUAAGAGAUAUACAGUUAGAAUGGUAGUGGUUUUAUAGAGUUGAGCAGAUAUUUGGUUGAAUAAUAGAAUCUAACGGAUAAAAAUAAUCAAAGAGAAAGAUCUACCAGAGGAAAACUUAUAAGCACUAAAUGUUUUGUACCUUUAAGAGCACUAUAACAAGACUCAUAUAUCGCCUUAAUAUUAUUUUUUAUCCUGUUUAAAUAACGGCAUAUAUUUUUAUUGUAAACCAAUCAUUUAAUUAUAAAAUAGUUCAGAUAACUAUUUAAA